CCUACGGGUGGCUGCAGUAGGGAAUAUUGCGCAAUGGGCGAAAGCCUGACGCAGCGACGCCGCGUGAGUGAUGAAGGCCUUAGGGUCGUAAAGCUCUGUUGAAUGGGAAGAAAAAAAUGACGGUACCAUUCGAGAAAGGACCGGCUAACUUCGUGCCAGCAGCCGCGGUAAGACGAGGGGUCCUAGCGUUGUUCGGAAUCAUUGGGCGUAAAGCGUAUGUAGGUGGCCUUAUAAGUCAGGUGUGAAAGCCCCGGGCUCAACCCGGGAAGUGCAUU
rnacentral:rRNA from 1 species